UACAGAGGGUGCGAGCGUUUAAUCGGAAUUACUGGGCGUAAAGCGUGCGCAGACGGUCAUGUAAGUCGGGUGUGAAAGCCCCGGGCUCAACCUGGGAAUUGCAUUCGAGACUGCAUGGCUAGGGUGCGGAAGAGGGAAGCGGAAUUUCCGGUGUAGCGGUGAAAUGCGUAGAUAUCGGAAGGAACACCAGUGGCGAAAGCGGCUUCCUGGUCCAGCACCGACGUCAGGCACGAAAGCGUGGGGGAGCAAACAGG
rnacentral:rRNA from 1 species